rnacentral:misc_RNA from 1 species
GAUGAAGAACGUAGCGAAAUGCGAUAAGUAAUGUGAAUUGCAGAAUUCCGUGAAUCAUCGAAUCUUUGAACGCACAUUGCGCCCCCUGGUAUUCCGGGGGGCAUGCCUGUCCGAGCGUCAUUGCAACCCUCAAGCGCGGCUUGUGUGUUGGGCUUCGUCCCCCCGUGGACGUGCCCGAAAGGCAGUGGCGGCGUCCCGAAUGGUGCCCGAGCGUAUGGGAACUCUCUUCCGCUCGAACCGGCCCAUUCGGCGCUGGUCGAACCCCAAAUUUUUUUUACCGGUUGACCUCGGAUCAGGUAGGGAUACCCGCUGAACUUAAGCAUAUCAAUAAGCGGAGGA